rnacentral:rRNA from 1 species
GGUUUUUAGAUUUUAUUAAAAAUCAAGCCUGCUCAAUGCUAAGUAAAUAGCCGCAGAAUUUUAACUGUGCAAAGGUAGCAUAAUCACUUGUCUUUUAAUUGAGGACUAGAAUGAAAGGUUUAACUAUGUAAUUUUGUCUUAUAGUAAUAUUUUGAACUUAAUCUUUUAGUAAAAAAGCUAAAAUUCAUCUUAAAGACGAGAAGACCCUAUUAAGCUUUACAAUUUGAUAUUAUUUUCAAACUAAUUAAAAAAUUGUUCUGCUGGGGCAGCAAAUAAAAAAAUAUUGUUUACAUAUUGUGAUAAAUAAAUCUAGAAAAAUCAAUAAUUUGUUAAAAAAUAAUAAGUUACUAUAGGGAUAACAGCAUAAUUUUUUUAAAGAGUUCUCAUCAACAAAAAAGUUUGUGACCUCGAUGUUGGAUUAAGAAUCCUAUUUUACGCAGUAGUAAAAAAAGGGAGUCUGUUCGACUUUUAAAUUCUUCCA